GACGAACGCUGGCGGCGUGCCUAAUACAUGCAAGUCGAACGCAGUGGGGACGGUUUAUUAACACGUGGGUAACCUCCCAUCAGAGGGGAUAACACUUGGCAACAGGUGCUAAACCGAUCCUGAUGGAUGGACCCGCGGUGCAUUAGCUAGGUGGUGAGGUAACGGCUCACCAAGGCCACGAUGCAUAGCCGACCUGAGAGGGUGAUCGGCCACACUGGGACUGAGACACGGCCCAGACUCCUACGGGAGGCAGCAGUAGGGAAUCUUCGGCAAUGGACGAAAGUCUGACCGAGCAACGCCGCGUGAGUGAAGAAGGUUUUCGGAUCGUAAAACUCUGUUGUUAGAGAAGCGGUAUCUAACCAGAAAGCCACGGCUAACUACGUGCCAGCAGCCGCGGUAAUAC
rnacentral:rRNA from 1 species